rnacentral:rRNA from 1 species
GACGAACGCUGGCGGCGUGCCUAAUACAUGCAAGUCGAACGCAGUGGGGACGGGUGAGUAACAAGUGGGUAACCUCCCAUCAGAGGGGAUAAAACUUGGAAAAAGGUGCUAAACUGAUACAGCUGGAUGGAACCGGGGUGCAUUAGCUAGUUGGUAAGGUAACGGCUCACCAAGGCAACGGUGCAUAGCCGACCUGAGAGGGUGAUCGGCCACACUGGAACUGAGACACGGCCCAGACUCCUACGGGAGGCAGCAGUAGGGAAUCUUCGGCAAUGGGCGAAAGUCUGACCGAGCAACGCCGCGUGAGUGAAGAAGGUUUUCGGAUCGUAAAACUCUGUUAUUAGAGAAGCGGUAUCUAACCAGAAAGCCACGGCUAACUACGUGCCAGCAGCCGCGGUAAUAC